rnacentral:rRNA from 1 species
GACGAACGCUGGCGGCGUGCCUAAUACAUGCAAGUCGAGCGAAGCGGCGGAUGGGUGAGUAACGCGUGGGUAACCUGCCCUUAAGUCUGGGAUACCAUCUGGAAACAGAUGCUAAUACCGGAUACUUAAGGACGGCCCUGAGAUGCAUUAGCUAGUUGGUACGGUAACGGCUUACGAAGGCGAGGAUGCAUAGCCGAGCUGAGAGACUGAUCGGACACAGUGUGACUGAGACACGGCCCAGACUCCUACGGGAGGCAGCAGUAGGGAAGCGUCCACAAUGGACGAAAGUCUGAUGGAGCAACGCCGCGUGAGUGAAGAAGGUGUUCGGAUCGUAAAGCUCUGUUGUUGGUGAAGCGUUAAUCAACCAGAAAGUCACGGCUAACUACGUGCCAGCAGCCGCGGUAAUAC